rnacentral:rRNA from 1 species
GAUGAACGCUGGCGGCGUGCCUAAUACAUGCAAGUCGAGCGAAUGGACUAAGAGCUCGCUCUUAUGAAGUUAGCGGCGGACGGGUGAGUAACACGUGGGUAACCUGCCCAUAAGACUGGGAUAACUCCGGGAAACCGGGGCUAAUACCGGAUAAUAUUUUGAACUGCAUGGUUCAAAAUUGAAAGGCGGCUUCGGCUGUCACUUAUGGAUGGACCCGCGUCGCAUUAGCUAGUUGGUGAGGUAACGGCUCACCAAGGCAACGAUGCGUAGCCGACCUGAGAGGGUGAGCGGCCACACUGGGACUGCGACACUGCCCAGACUCCUACGGGAGGCAGCAGUAGGGAAUCUUCCGCAAUGGACGAAAGUCGGACGGAGCAACGCCGCGUGAGUGAUGAAGGCUUUCGGGUCGUAAAACUCUGUUGUUAGGGAAGAACAAGUGCUAGUUGAAUAAGCUGGCACCUUGACGGUACCUAACCAGAAAGCCACGGCUAACUACGUGCCAGCCGCCGCGGUAA